UGAUUUCCUUUUAAUGUUUAAAAUGAAAAAUACACUCUGAAUAUUGAUACUUGUCAUCACAACAUAUGUAACGGAGUUCAAAUAUUGCUGUUAAAGUCAAUUCAAUUCAAUUUUAUUUGUAUAGCUCUUUUAACAAUGGACAUUGUCACAAAGCAGCUUUACAGUAAUAGAUGGAUUCACAAAAAAUAUAUUGUAAAUAUGUGAAUUUAUCCCUAAUGAGCAAGCCAGAGGCGACGGUGGCAAGGAAAAACUCCCUGAUACAAUAUGAGGAAGAAACCUUGAGAGGAACCAGGCUCAAAAGGGAACCCAUCCUCAUCUGGGUGCAACGGAUAGUGCAAUUAUAAAUAAAUCCCUUCUAUUAUUGUGUACUAUAUGGACAAAUGGUGCAAUUGUGCAACCAGUAAAUUCAUCAAAGUUUUUGCAAGAAGUCCGGUUGGUUAAAAUCUAUCCACUGUCCACUGAUGGAGUCCUGAGUACGAAGCUGGUCAUGGCAAUUGCAGCCCCAAAGCCACUACAGCAAUCACAGUCCCAAGCCGUUUCAGUACAGCUCCCCAUAUGAGAUCCCCAUGCCAUCUCCACAGCCCCCAGGUGGCACCAUCCCCAGCAAACCAAACGGUUCUUCAGGCCGUCCAUAUGGGGCCACCACCAGCAGCAGCGAGCGAACUCAACCGAUGAGAACUCGAACCAGAAGUAGGGCAUCAGGAUGGGUCAGGCAGGUCCGGGGAGCAACAGGGGUCAGCACCACUGGCUUCUCAGAAGUAGCAUGUGUAGCUCGACAGAGAGCAAAAGAGAGAGAGAGAUCGAGAGAGAGGGAGAGAAUGUUAAAUUCAUGCUGAAAUUGGGAAAACUUACCAUUGGCUGUUGCGCCACUAUAUGUGCAUAUAUUUGCAUACCUUAUAUGGUGGGGUGGUGCUACGCUUUAUAUCUCUCGCUGUCAGUAAGUUGCUCUGAUCAUUGCUCUAUUGUAAGUGAAAAUGAAUUAUGGUUGUUUUCAGGUGCAGGUUUAGAGCUUGAAUCACACAAAAGGUUACUUCUUUCAUCUAUCAGCAUUCAGAUUCUGUCGGUCAGGUCCAGUGUAUGAUAUUUGCAAUGUUAAAGCCGAGGGUAUCUAAUUGCGCCAUUAACCUGCAAGUGAACUCUGAACCUCUGUUUAUUUCAGUUUAAACCUCAGAGCAACAUCGGUCCACUGUAUAUUAACCAGCCUUUGGUCGUGUUUGCUCCAGGUAUGUGGUUUAUUUGGUAAUAUCCAUGUUCUGUGUAAGAAAUUCCAGCCCUAAUUGAGACUGAGCAUUAGAGCACGUGUAAUCUGCUCGCACGUGCUGAGUUAUGUAGCUGAGUUACGUAGCUAGCUUUUCUUGUUCUGUUUCAUUUUUAAAAUAAUAUGUAAUUCAUAAACUGAUGGUCACUUAGUUUAUUGUUGUUUUGUAUUAAUGUGAAUUGUAUUAACACAUGAAACAUGUGGAAUUGAUAUGUUGUAAGAACAUGUCAUUAAAUAUAUAAUUUAAUGUUCGAUGGUAAAGGCCAUUGUGUAGAAACUCUAGUGUGUGUAUAUGCAGGGUUUUAUGGUAACCACAAAGCACAUCGAAAAAAAAAGCUGUCACUCCUCUUUUUAUAAUUAAACGUUAAAACUAUAAAUUUAUAUGCAUACGUUUUUAUUUACUGCUGUAUGCAGCAUCUUUUAAAAAAGAAAUAAAGAAUAAAAGUAACCUUUUCUACUGUAAACCUUUCUAGUGUCUACAUCUUAAAUAAUACAGAUAAGCUUUUUCCCUCAAGUGUCUGAUGUUUACUGUAAAACCCUGUAUAAACGCUCACUCCACUUUCUACCUUAGACAAAUGAUUUGUGAAAGGACCAUACUGAAACUGUACUGCGUCCCGCUCCCCCACAGCGGGAUUACACAUUAUUCCUCUUUGGGGUUGUUAGAUCUGCUGACCUAAAAGCACUUCAUUAAACUUCUUCUAUCAGAGAGGUUCCAGCACACAGGACUGAUAGAGCUCCAGUAUAUCAUAUCUGUAAAGUCAUGUGACUCAUCACAGCAUCAGAAUAGACAAGAAUUCACUGUGAGCUUCACAUCUCACUACAGCUAAUGGACCAAUCAAAUCAGUCCACAGCUUCAAAACAUCCAAUCAGGUGUGAGUCUGGACCUGGUUUUCUACAGAACACACAAGUUCCUUACAUCACUAUCACUUUUUCUAAACAGGAACGAUGAUCACACUCUUUGUCGCUCUUUACUCUCUGCUUUGUCUCUGCACAGCUGUAAAAACUUCUGACGUCAAGGAGCUUCACGUGAAAAGAGUAAAUCGUGGAGAAAAUGUAACUAUGGAGUGUGACAUUAGCAGGGUCAAAGACAAAGAUAAUUUAUUUUGGUACAGACAGAGUUUUGGAAAAGUGCCUCAGUUUUUAGCAAGACAUUACGGGAAAAAUAAUUCCAAAUUUGAUGAGGGAUUUAAUGAUAGCCGCUUCAGUAUUACUGUAAAUGCCCAUAAGUUUGAUCUCAAAAUUAAAGAAAUAAGAGAAGAUGAUGGAGGAGAAUAUUUUUGUGGAGAAUUGGAUGCAAGUUUACUAAAGUUCACAUCUGGAACACGUCUGCAAUUUGAAGGUAACGAGAUGAAACCCUGUCCUACACCUGGAACGGUUAACAAGAACACAGAUUCUGUUACACUCCAGGGUUCAGAUAGCAGCGAUGGAAAAAGUAAGAGUUUUGAUCAAAUAAGCUUCCUUUCACUUUCUGUAACAGAAUUUUCUCUAGUUAAAACCUUUUCCUGUUAAUAAAUCAUACAAUAUUUAUACAAAUUGUGCAUUUUCAUCAUUUCAGGAAAUGAACAUUGGAUUAUUGCCUCAACAACCUCCAUAAUAAUAUCUCUUAUUCUAAUUGUGGUUCUGGUUGGAGUUUUAUUUAAAAAUCAGAGAAAAGGUUUGUUUACUUUUAUUAUUAUUAUUUAUAGAGUUAAUGUAUAAAGAUGUCACCAAAAUGUGGAUCCUUUCUACAUUUAAACUUUACUUAUGUGUAUCAUUGUUCAGGUGCUUCAUCAAGAAACCAUCAAAUUCCCACCAAUCAGGUAAUCCAGUCUUCUAUUAACUGUGAUUCUGUUAAAUAAAUCCACAUCUGACCUACAAUCCACAAUACACACAGAAUUUUAACAGACAACUAUUUACAAAAUAUCAAUGUAAUAAUUAUUUGUAGUCUUUUAAUGUGCUCUGGUUUAUAAACGGCUCUUGUUGUUCAUCAGGCUGAUGAUGAAGAUGUCUUGAACUAUGCAGCUGUUAGAUUUGCUAAGAAACCUUCAUCCUCCAGAACCUCCAGAGACAAGAGCCAUGAAGACGUUUAUGCACAAGUUAAAAUAAAAUAGUUAAAGAGAAAUGAACUCAGACUUGAAAAACUAUAUAAACGUAAUUAUUUAACAAGUUUGUAGACAGAUGUGUCUUUUUUUUAAUCGGACAAAAAAUUUUAUUGCUGUAAGUUUUAUCACCAUUUCCAAAGCUUUUUAAUGUACUAAAUUGCCCUACUUGAUGGAUGUAGUUUUUUUAUUUAUUUACUUAUUUUUAUAACUUUAUUUUACUUUUAUUCUCUGCUGUUUUUUUCUUUCUGAAAGCCUUACAUUUGGGAUGUUUUCUCAGCAUUUUCUCUUAAAGUUUCUAGAUUUUAGAAUGUAAAAAAAUAUUUUUGUUACAUUAUCAAGAAAUGGCUCAUGGUACACAACUUGCCUAAACUUUUUUUUUUGCAAGUUAUUUUGCUUGGGAGCUUUAUGAAGAUGCUAAAUAUUAUUAAUAUUGUAAUUACUUUAGAUCAGCUAAAGCAUUUUUGUAUCCAGUACAUCUGUAAACGUAAUACAUUUUCUACUUUUCCAGAAAUACUAAGGGCCUUUAAAAGUGCAACAGGGCUGAAUAUAAAGACAAGUGGUUACUGCACUAAAUUCCAGAUAGAAAUUUAUGCGAAUCAUGUUAAUGACCAUAAUUAAUCAAAUGUCAUUAAAAAAUAAAUCAAUUUUCAACAUUUAUUAAAAGUUCUGUUUAGUUUAUAAUUAAUAAACACAUCUUCUAGAUCAGCACUUUUAUUGACUCCAGUCUUUCCUUUGAAGCUCAUGUAGCUAAUAUUACUAGGAUAGCCUUCUUUUAUCUCAGAAAUAUUGCUACGAUAAAAAAUAUAAUGUUCCUACACCAAGCAGAAUAACCAGCUCAUGCUUUUGUUACCUAUAAGUUGGAUUAUUGUAAUGCCUUACUGUCUGGACAUUCUAGUGGUGCAUAAACAAGCUUCAGUUAAUCCAGAAUGCAGCAGCCAGAGUUCUUACUAGAACCAGACGAUAUGACCACAUCACCUCUAUCUUAUCCACACUGCAUUGGCUCACAAUCAAAUUUCGCAUUGAUUAUAAAAUACUACUACUGACCUAUAAAGCACUGAAUGGUCUCAUGCCACAGUACCUGAGUGAACGUCCGGUGUUUUAUGAUCCACCAUACCUACUUCGAUCAAAAGGCUCUUUGUUGGUGCCUCGAAUAGUAACGGCUGGAGCAAGGGGCAAAGCUUUCUCUUACAAAGCCCCACAGUUAUGGAACAGCACUCCAAUUAGUGUGCAGGACUCAGAUACAGUCUCAGUGUUUAAGUCGAGGCUGAAAAUAUAUUUCUUUAGUCAAGCCCUUUGUCGAUAGUUGUUUUCUUAGGUAAAGGAGCAGAUCUGGAGAGCUCAUGGGCAUAGAGUGUUUAGGGGAACUGGGUUGUUUGGAUGCUGUUUUUCCCCCACUCUCAUACGUUCACUCAGGUUUGUUGAUGAUGGAGUGGCUGGUCACUUUAUGUUCCAGGUCACCCUCAUGUCUAUGUUACUGGUUGGAUCUCCUUUUUAUUUAUGUUGUCAUACCUUCUCUUGCUGGAGUCCCUGCUUGCACUCUACAUACAAUGUACAAUUUCUUUAACCAUUAUGUGACAGUCAGCAUAUCUAAUAAUCUCUGUCCCUCUCUCUCUCUCUUGAGCUACACAUGCUACUCCUGAGAUACCAGUGACCCUGACCUAUUCAGCUCUCUGGGCCUGCUGAUCCUGAUGCCCUGUUUCUGGUUGAAAUUCUCAUCACUUGGAAAUCACUUGCUGCUGCUGAUGAAGCUAUUAGUCAAGAAAACUGUAGAUGCAGCAACCUUUCAAUGGUAAAAUAAACACAGACAGAACUGGUGUUCAGUAUGGCCUCUCCCCUAUAAAUAUUUCCUCAGUAACAAAAUAAGAGAUUUUUUGUAAUGCAGAUACAGAAUCUAUUGCACACUCAUUUUUAUUGCGUAGAAGGAUUGGUAAAGAAAUACCUUUUAAAAACCACUACAUUUAUUUUCUUUCUUUUUACUUCAUAUUUUUUGUUACUGUGACCAGGCAGUAUGGCCUGAAGCAAGAUCUGAAUUAAAACGUUACUUAAACCAAAGAAAUAAUUCAAAAAAUCUGCUUUCUGACUACGCCACUAUGGGAAUUUCACCCACAGAAUUUACCCCUAAAGCUACACACGGGUUCCCCACCCAAAGGCAGAAUAAAACAUGGAGACACAGGUAUCUAUUCUCAAACAAAAAAAAAUACUUUUUUACAACAAAAUACAGUAACACAAUAUAGCCUUCACUUAAAAAGGUAAACACCUAAAUAUCCCAUUACAUUAAAGGCAACUUCACAGAGCUGCGGCUCUGUAAACAAAUAAACAAAACCAAUUAACAAACACAAAAAACAAAAGAAAAGUAUCCUCGAUGAGGGUUAACACACAGGAACAAACACACGAUGUGCUUGAUGCAGACCACUAGGAACAAAGCAGCGGUAAUGCACUGCAAAGAACCGGCACUUCACCCUGCAGACAGUGGAUACGGUUUAAAAUAAUCAUAUUCAAUGUUCAAAGAGGAAAAUUACUAAGAAACACUAACCUACCGUUAAAAAGGCCUCAGGACUCUGGAUCUAACAUGGUACUCAAUUAUUCGGCCUACAUUCAACAAUCGCCGUCUGUAUGCAUAACCGAUAGCGCUAAGCUGAAAAUAGAAUAAAUUGCCAAUCGCCCAACUACAACAGCCGAUACAAUGUUGUGUUAAUCAAAUAAACUACAAUGAAGGGCAGAUGUAUAUCAAUUUAAUCCAGACGUGAUAAGAUGGAAAGCACUAAACCGGCAGUAAUGUUAUCACCCACUUUUCAAACAAUGAAGCCAACUCGGAAGAGCAGACAGCAAAAGGUGUCAGAGCAGCUUCCAACCACAGGCCAGGAAACGGGGUGAUAUCCAGGGAAAUCACCGCAUAUCUGAGCUACCGGUGUGUGUCACAUAUAUAUACGCUCAACACGGUGCCAAUUAAUGACGUCACGAGUGUCACAGUAACAACUAUCCCAGCAACAACUCGGGCAGAUAGGCAUUAGUCCA